rnacentral:lncRNA from 1 species
CUGAUGAAGUAUGAGCAAAGACGAGGUCCGGAUCAGGAACAAACAGAACCCGGCCUCAGGUAAACGGCAGCAUUGAUUGGAUCAGCACUGAGCUGCAGCGCAGUGCUUCCCACGCACUCCUCCCCCCCCCCGUCCCAUCAUGGCCUCGCUCAUCUAUCAGUCUGGUUUUGGGAAGCUUGUUGUUUUGCUCGGCGGAGAAAUUGCUGUGGAUUCCCAAAUCUGUUUUCUCCUCUAAAUUAUUCAGACGAUGCCCUGAAAGAAGCUCACGCACGCGCUGGACGUGCACGGGGCACACGCAGGGUCCAGAGUUCAUCUGGUUCCGAGUCAAAGUCACCUUCAAAGCGAGAGGCAUCGUCAGAUUGAAGCUACAGGACACACUCUACGGAAAUAAAGUUUCCAGAAGGUGGAAAGACAACGGGCGGAGGCUGUGAACCAUCAAGAGCAGGAUGAAUGACAGGCUGAAGUCAAAGGUCUCUGCUCAUAAAACCACGAGGACGUGCGUUUCCAGCACUGAGACAGACGCUCACGCGUUGUUAUGGCUGCCUCUCCAGGGUCAGCGCUUGCGUUUGAUUGGCUGCCUCGCCAUAUUUUAGAGGAAGCGGAAUGUUGCUAUGCCGACGCCAGUCAAGGCCAAAACAGAGAGGAGGUUGACGUGUGACGAAUAUUGAUUCCUUCAGAAGAAGUGCUCAGUUCCUGGUUAAAGAAUGGGGAAGCAGAGGUUUGUGUUAGAAAUGAUGUCAGUGGAGCUGAAGGCGGAAGAUGCAGGAAACUGGACUCGCUUCCUACACCUGCUAGUUCAAUAUCACACAUCAGUGGCUUUAGUUUGUCUGCUAAAGGGACAACAGGUCAUAGUGUGUAUUUGUGUGGUGAACUAGUCAGGAUCAUCUACUGUAGAAACCCAGAAACUAUACUAAGUUCCAAAAGUCAUAGAAACAGCAAAGCAUUCAUUUUAUUCACUAUUCCUUCACAUGUCAGCAGUGUCGGCGACUUCCUGUUAGUCAACGCUGCAGACUUGUCAAAAUUCACCAAAGUUGAGCCGAAGGCAAAAUAAAAGCCUGCACUGACUUAGUGCA